rnacentral:rRNA from 1 species
GAUGAACGCUAGCGAUAGGCCUAACACAUGCAAGUCGAGGGGUAGCAUAGAGUAGCAAUACUUUGAUGGCGACCGGCGCACGGGUGAGUAACACGUAUGCAACCUACCUACAUCAGGGGAAUAACCCGGAGAAAUUCGGACUAAUACCGCAUAAUACAGGGAUGCCGCAUGGCAAUAUUUGUUAAAGAUUUAUCGGAUGUAGAUGGGCAUGCGUUCCAUUAGCUAGUUGGUAAGGUAACGGCUUACCAAGGCAACGAUGGAUAGGGGAACUGAGAGGUUUGUCCCCCACACUGGACCUGAGACACGGACCAGACUCCUACGGGAGGCAGCAGUGAGGAAUAUUGGUCAAGGGACGAGAGUCUGAACCAGCCAAAUCGCGUGAAGGAAUACUGCCCUACGGGUUGUAAACUUCUUUUGUACAGGAAUAAAAGACAUUACGUGUAAUGUAUUGCAUGUACUGUACGAAUAAGCAUCGGCUAACUCCGUGCCAGCAGCCGCCGUAA